AGGUACAGACAGAAGCCAUUGUCUAAAUAUUCCUCCUAGAACAAAGCAUCGGAACAAAUUCACUUCCGGAAAAAGGAGAAAGACAAAGUAGAAGAAGAGGAUCACUCCAAGAUGCUCACCUAGAAGAACCCCAGUUUCUAUGAUACAAACUCCCUAAUCGUUUUACUGAAAAGAUGGGGUUAACUAUAGAGGACCAAUCGUUGCAGCGGAGCACUCCGGAGUCCUUUUGAAAGAAUCGCUUAUUUAGUU